GAUGAAAACGUAGCGAAAUGCGAAAAGUAAUGUGAAUUGCAGAAUUCAGUGAAUCAUCGAAUCUUUGAACGCACAUUGCGCCCGCUGGUACUCCGGCGGGCACGCCUGUCCGAGCGUCAUUUCAACCCUCAAGCCCUCCUUCGGGAUGGGCCUGGUGUUGGGGCUCGGCCGCCAUCUCCGGCGGCCGUCCCCUAAAUACAGUGGCGGUCACGUCGCGACUCCUUUGCGUAGUAGAAACACCUCGCUCCGGAUAGCAACGCGGUCCACGCCGUAAAACCCCCAAUUUUCAAUGGUUGACCUCGGAUCAGGUGGGAAUACCCGCUGAACUUAAGCAUAUCAAUAAGCGGAGGA
rnacentral:misc_RNA from 1 species